GAAACGAUGACUCAGUCCAACUCUGACCAAUCACUGCUUACUAACGUAGUCUGGAUGCAAAAUGGCGAAAUCUGUACCGCGGAAAAGGCGACUGAAUUUACUUCAUUUCGUUGGAACCCGAGGACUCGGACACUUUGUCUCCAGAGACGAUGAGUCAGAUUCGGCUGACAAAAAGAACAAACUCCAUGCACAGUGUUGAGACCUGGACAAAAAACAGGACGAAACAUAGAGCAGAAAAUCAAAGCUCCAGCUGAGACUUCUUGCUGCAUGGCCUCAAACUCUAUUCAGCGUGUCUAAAACACUGCAUGAUAACUUACAGCUAUAUCAUGCAUGGGGGCUAUUGAGGAACGGAAAACUCCAGCUGUUUGCAGAUCAGCUUGAUCGUUCACACAUAAUUGCGAUCCACAUCAAAGCUCUCGCAGCCGGCGAGGGGGGAAUGAACCCUCUUGUAGGUGAUUGUGAGUGAACAUGGUAUCCCACUGAUGCACCUCCUAAUUAUUAUCCCCACCUCAGUACUGACUCUCAUGCUGUGGAAAGUACAUGGAAAGCCAUUAGUGUUCAGCUAACAUGCACAAUACGUGCUAGAAAAUAAAGAGUAAAGAUGAAAUGUGAGGACAGGUGUCUUCCUGUCUUCUCACAAACCCCGUCCCCCUGAAGCAAAGGGAGACGGACGCCUUUCAUGUUUGUGACUCACAAUCAUAAACUAUUUAAGACUUUAAGAAAAGUG